rnacentral:rRNA from 1 species
AUUGAACGCUGGCGGCAGGCCUAACACAUGCAAGUCGAACGGUAGCACAGAGAGCUUGCUCUCGGGUGACGAGUGGCGGACGGGUGGGUAAUGUCUGGGAAACUGCCCGAUGGAGGGGGAUAACUACUGGAAACGGUAGCUAAUACCGCAUAACGUCUUCGGACCAAAGUGGGGGACCUUCGGGCCUCACACCAUCGGAUGUGCCCAGGUGGGAUUAGCUAGUAGGUGGGGUAAUGGCUCACCUAGGCGACGAUCCCUAGCUGGUCUGAGAGGAUGACCGGCCACACUGGAAAUGAGACACGGUCCAGACUCCUACGGGAGGCAGCAGUGGGGAAUAUUGCACAAUGGGCGCAAGCCUGAUGCAGCCAUGCCGCGUGUAUGAAGAAGGCCUUCGGGUUGUAAAGUACUUUCAGCGGGGAGGAAGGCGGUGAAGUUAAUAGCUUCAUCGAUUGACGUUACCCGCAGAAGAAGCACCGGCUAACUCCGUGCCAGCCGCCGCGGUAA